rnacentral:rRNA from 1 species
GACGAACGCUGGCGGCGUGCUUAACACAUGCAAGUCGAACGGAAAGGCCUGCUUUCCCUUGUGGAUUGCGGGUGCUCGAGUGGCGAACGGGUGAGUAACACGUGAGUAAUCUGCCCCCAACUUGGGUAUAAGCCUGGGAAACUGGGUCUAAUUCCCGAUAAGACUGCAGGGUGUGCCUGUUGUUGGAAAACGAUUUUCUAGUGGUGGGGGAUGAGCUCGCCGCCUAUCAGCUUGUUGGUGGGGUAAUGGCCUACCAAGGCGGCGACGGGUAGCCGGCCUGAGAGGGUGGACGGCCACAUUGGGACUGAGAUACGGCCCAGACUCCUACGGGAGGCAGCAGUGGGGAAUAUUGCACAAUGGGCGGAAGCCUGAUGCAGCGACGCCGCGUGGGGGAUGACGGCCUUCGGGUUGUAAACUCCUUUCGACCGCGAGGAAGCCGCCUGGUUGGAAGGGUGGUGACGGUAGUGGUAGAAGAAGCACCGGCUAACUACGUGCCAGCAGCCGCGGUAAUACGUAGGGUGCGAGCGUUGUCCGGAUUUACUGGGCGUAAAGAGCUCGUAGGUGGCUUGUCGCGUCGUCUGUGAAAGUCUGGGGCUUAACUCCGGGUGUGCAGGCGAUACGGGCUGGCUUGAGUGCUGUAGGGGAGACUGGAAUUCCUGGUGUAGCGGUGGAAUGCGCAGAUAUCAGGAGGAACACCGAUGGCGAAGGCAGGUCUCUGGGCAGUCACUGACGCUGAGGAGCGAAGAGCAUGGGUAGCGACAGGAUUAGAUACCCUGGUAGUCCAUGCUGUAAACGGUGGGCGCUAGGUGUGGGGAACUUUCCAUGGUUUCCGUGUCGUACGUAACGCGUUAAGCGCCCCGCCUGGGGAGUACGGCCGCAAGGCUAAAA